GUAACGGCGAGUGAAGCGGCAACAGCUCAAAUUUGAAAUCUGGCUCCUUCGGGGCCCGAGUUGUAAUUUGCAGAGGAUGCGUCGGGUACGGGUGCCUUCCGAGUUCCCUGGAACGGGACGCCAUAGAGGGUGAGAGCCCCGUCUGGUAGGAUACCCAGCCCGUGUGACGCUCCCUCGACGAGUCGAGUAGUUUGGGAAUGCUGCUCUAACGGGAGGUAUACUCCUUCCAAGGCUAAAUACCGGCUGGAGACCGAUAGCGCACAAGUAGAGUGAUCGAAAGAUGAAAAGCACUUUGAAAAGAGAGUCAAACAGCACGUGAAAUUGUUAAAAGGGAAGCGCUCGCUACCAGACUUGGGUUCGGCGGUUCAACCGGGGCCACGCCCCGGGGCAUUCCGCCGGCCCAGGCCAGCAUCAGCUUUCCGUCGGGGGUAAAGGCGUCGGGAAUGUGGCUCCCCUUCGGGGGAGUGUUAUAGCCCGUCGUGUCAUACCCUUCGGGGGGCUGAGGUACGCGCUUCUGCAAGGAUGCUGGCGUAAUGGUAGCUAGUGACCCGUCUUGAAACACGGACCAAGGAGUCAACCUUAUGUGCGAGUGCCCGGGCGUAAAACCCCAGCGCGGAAUGAAAGUGAACGUAGGUGAGAGCUUCGGCGCAUCACCGACCGAUCCUGAUGUCCUCGGACGGAUUUGAGUGAGAGCAUAUAGGGUUGGACCCGAAAGAAGAUGAACUAUGCGUGUGUAGGGUGAAGCCAGAGGAAACUCUGGUGGAGGCUCGCAGCGGUUCUGACGUGCAAAUCG
rnacentral:misc_RNA from 1 species